UGGAGAGCUACAAAUGUUACUGUUUUGCUGGAUUCCACGGGACCCAUUGCAAUGAACGUACAGCAGAUAAUUCGAGCUGUCAAGAUAUUUUCGGAUGGUAUGAAGGCAAUCUUUAUUGUUACUUUGAUGAGAGAGUCAACUUUUCUCGAGCACUGACGAACUGUCGGAACAUCAACUGGAAAGAUCAGGAAGACGAUCAUUCUCCUGGUUUUUCCGAUCUAGUGUCCAUUCACAGUGAUGGGGAGACGAACAUUAUUUUGGACUUGUGCAAAGGAAAAGCUUGCCGAAAUCAGAAUCAAUGGAUAGGACUUUAUCAACCAACCCCAGAAGGUGCCUUUGAAUGGUCGGAUGGAACGGAGGUGAACUACACUGCAUGGUUUCCUUUGCAACCGGAUAAUAACAUCCCUCAUCUCCCAAAUUCUUC